rnacentral:lncRNA from 1 species
UUAAUCUUUUUCAGUGGUCCAUAUAAUCUACUUGAUUCAGACUAUUCUUACGAAAAUGUGAUGUACUAUCAUAAGAAUGUAAUUCUUCGCAAAUAUACUUGUUGAACUCGAUUCCAAAUCUUUAUCUAGUAUGAACAACAUUGAAUUCCUUCUCCAUGCCAUUUUGAAAGAAUAAGAUGCAUUACUCGUUAGUGUUAUCAGUUAAGCAAAUAUAUUUGUUGUUAACAAACAUUCUUAAAAAUAUUCUGACAGAAUGCAUUUAUACAUUCUAUGUUUUAGAAUAUUUAUACAUAAAAUACAUUCUAUUAGAAUAUACUAUUUUUCGCCAUGUUUUCUUUCUUUUCCAUAUUAGAAUGCAAAAAUCUGUUCAUUCUAUGCGAAUAUAAAUAUUACAUAAAACAUGUGUUGCUAGUAAUUCACAAAAUGCACAUCAUAUGGUUAGAUUCUUUUUUAGGCAUUUCAACAAACAUUUGUUAGGCAUUAUUAUAAUACAUUCUAUAAUACCAAAAUACACUUUUGCAAUGUGAAAUUUGGGAUUUGCAAAACAUGAAAGUUGUGUAAGGAACUUACUAAUAUGCAAAUUUUCAAAACACUAAACUUUUAUGAUUAUUUAUAAAACCAUUUAAUAUUAAUAUUACAACAAAACAUUGACUCAAUUUACCUCAAAAAAGUAAUGGAGAUUUGGUGGUUGUGGUUCGAAGGAUAUUCAAUUUUAAUAAUAAAGUUAUUAGUUUAUGAUUGUAGUGGAAGAAUUUGAUACUAACCUAUCACAAAUAGUGCUUCAUUACACACUUACAAGCGUCGAUACAAAUAACAUAAAACUAAUUCAAGUGACAUCACAUGUAGAAAUGAAUUUUGAAAUCACUAUGAAUCGAAUUAUCAAUUGUCAAAUAUGGACACUGAAUUACAGAAUUACAUAAUUAGUGAUGUGAAUCAAAUAAAUUAGGAUAUAAGAUAUAUGAAUCGUGAGAAGGGUAUAUACAAAGAAGAUAUCAAUUUUUAUUUAAUGAAAUUGUAAGAACUGAGGAAAGGAAAAGAAAUUUACCUUUGUAUUGGAAUUGAAACCCCCAAUCGAUUGAACAAGGUACGAUCGUCGUGAUUACAUGAAGAACGAAAGUCACAAAAUAUGGGUUAAUUAUUAGGUUACCUGUAUUAGGUUAAGUAUGCCUUCUCAUGUACUUGUGAUUCAUGCUCAAAAUAUGGGCCUAUAUAUUAUAUAUGUAAACUGGACCAAACUUGGAUGAGAGUAUUUGACGAAGAAGAAAAUAUUGGGAACAAGACGAUGGUG